rnacentral:lncRNA from 1 species
AGGCACCCACAAUGAAAUAACACAGUGAAAAAAUAAUAAAAUCUACGCAGCUUGUUGGAGAAGGUAAAAUUCACCGAGAACAAACAUGACAAUCAACAAAAUGCAAUGAAAGUUUGAAAACUUAAAGAAAUCAUGAAAGAAAAAUCAAAGUGCGACCAGAUCUGUACAAAACAAGCAUAAUAAUAAUAAUACAAAACCAAAAUAUUCAGUUAGCCAGGGAAGAGAGACGCGGUGGUCGUGGAGUCUGGUUCGCCGGUUGGAGCAGUGACGCUGGUUCACCGGGGUUUGCCCGGCAGCGACGGCUGGUUUCACUGGUGAAGGAGAUGGUGGUGCGGAAGGAGGUUUGUUGGCUAUUUAGGCGACAAAAGGGAGGAGGGUGGUGGUCGCCGGAGCCGGGAA